rnacentral:lncRNA from 1 species
GCUGGAAGGCGCUGAAAAGAAGCCCAGGACCCUUAAGGAACAGAGAAACAAGAAGGGGAAUGUUGGGGAGCGAGGACCCAGGCCCAGGCUUAAAGAGCUUAACUUUGGGUCCAAGAACGGAAACAUCACUGAUAACUGGCCAGUAGCACCCGAGAAGGCAACAGAGACAGAGAAGGACUCCUGAGGAGGCAGUAGGGAGCUGCAGCUGAAUGGGCUUUACCACAAAGGACUGGCUCUCUUAUAAGACUCACAAGGCAAGACUGACUGGGGUGAGAAAAUGGAACCUAUAUUUACAGUUGUCUGCUGUCUGCCACCUGUCCUCCCAGGACAGGGCACACUGGAGACACUCACAUCCCCUCUCCACUGCAUCUUGUCUCAGUCACUGGUCUUGUCUCAGUCAUCCUGGGAUGGUGAGGUGAGAGCAACGGCAAGGCAUGGCAAGGGACCUGAGACUGGCCCCCUGGAACCAAGUGUAGCCCAAGUGAACAUGUCCUCUGAUGGGACUGGUUCGAACCUUGGACCCCUGGCUACACCCAUCCCUGCCCUUGAAUAAAAGUCUGCUGCUCUGUCCCAG